UACUUCGUAUCUCCGAACAAACUCAGUUGCAUCUUUUCUCAUGGUGGGUCAGUAGUACCCCUAUCAUAGAACUUUAUAGGCUAAUGAUUUACCCCUCAAGUAAUUUAUCGAAGAGCAUAGUCGACUUCAAUAGGUCUCAGGCACUUAAGCAGGGAAAGAGAGAACAAUCUUUUGUUUAAUUGCCCGUUCAUCAACACAUAUUAAGAAGCUGUCCACCUUAGUCGUUUGGCUUUCAAUGAAUCUUCUGGAAGGAUACCAUCAGUUGGGUAUUGAAUGAUCGGAUCUAUCCAACUUGGUUCAUCAUUUAUUUGAUAUACUUCAUUGAUCUUAUCGAUACUUGAUUGUUCGAAAUAUUUGACGAACAUUCAG
rnacentral:lncRNA from 1 species